UACGUAGGGUGCGAGCGUUGUCCGGAAUUAUUGGGCGUAAAGAGCUCGUAGGCGGUUUGUCACGUCUGCUGUGAAAUCCCGAGGCUCAACCUCGGGCCUGCAGUGGGUACGGGCAGACUGGAGUGCGGUAGGGGAGAAUGGAAUUCCUGGUGUAACGGUGGAAUGCGCAGAUAUCAGGAGGAACACCGAUGGCGAAGGCAGUUCUCUGGGCCGUAACUGACGCUGAGGAGCGAAAGCGUGGGGAGCGAACAGG
rnacentral:rRNA from 1 species